rnacentral:rRNA from 1 species
AUUGAACGCUGGCGGCAUGCCUUACACAUGCAAGUCGAACGGCAGCGGGGACUUCGGUCCGCCGGCGAGUGGCGGACGGGUGAGUAAAGCAUCGGAACGUACCCGGAAGUGGGGGAUAACGUAGCGAAAGUUACGCUAAUACCGCAUAUUCUGUGAGCAGGAAAGAGGGGGAUCUUCGGACCUCUUGCUUUCGGAGCGGCCGAUGUCAGAUUAGCUAGUUGGUGAGGUAAGGGCUCACCAAGGCGACGAUCUGUAGCGGGUCUGAGAGGAUGAUCCGCCACACUGGAACUGAGACACGGUCCAGACUCCUACGGGAGGCAGCAGUGGGGAAUUUUGGACAAUGGGCGCAAGCCUGAUCCAGCCAUGCCGCGUGAGUGAAGAAGGCCUUCGGGUUGUAAAGCUCUUUCGGCCGGGAAGAAAUCGCAUGGGUUAAUACCCUGUGCGGAUGACGGUACCGGCAUAAGAAGCACCGGCUAACUACGUGCCAGCAGCCGCGGUAA